rnacentral:rRNA from 1 species
GCUUGCCUUUCUGAUGACGACCGGCGCACGGGUGCGUAACGCGUAUGCAACCUACCUUAUACUGGGGAAUAGCCAGAAGAAAUUCUGAUUAAUGCCCCAUAGUAUUUAUUAACCGCAUGGUUUUAUAAAUUAAAGAUUACGGUAUAAGAUGGGCAUGCGUCCUAUUAGCUAGAUGGUAAGGUAACGGCUUACCAUGGCAACGAUAGGUAGGGGGCCUGAGAGGGUGAUCCCCCACACUGGUACUGAGACACGGACCAGACUCCUACGGGAGGCAGCAGUGAGGAAUAUUGGGCAAUGGAGGCAACUCUGACCCAGCCAUGCCGCGUGCAGGAAGAAGGUUCUAUGGAUCGUAAACUGCUUUUAUUUGUGAAUAAACUCUCGGACGUGUCCGAGCCUGAAUGUAGCAAAUGAAUAAGCACCGGCUAACUCCGUGCCAGCAGCCGCGGUAAUACGGAGGGUGCAAGCGUUAUCCGGAAUCAUUGGGUUUAAAGGGUCCGCAGGCGGACU